ensembl:snoRNA SNORA65 small nucleolar RNA, H/ACA box 65
CCCGCCACUAUGCUGGUCUGUGAGUGACUUGGUAUAAUCCAGUGGAGGCUAAGACCAAACCCAGCUCUAGGAAGCAGGUCUGCCCAAUAUUAUGGGUAACUCUGUGCCGAAAGGUCUGGAACAAAC